rnacentral:rRNA from 1 species
AUUGAACGCUGGCGGCAUGCUUUACACAUGCAAGUCGAACGGUAACAGGCCGCAAGGUGCUGACGAGUGGCGAACGGGUGAGUAAUGCAUCGGAACGUGCCCAGUCGUGGGGGAUAACUACUCGAAAGAGUAGCUAAUACCGCAUACGAUCUAUGGCUGAAAGCGGGGGACCGUAAGGCCUCGCGCGAUUGGAGCGGCCGAUGUCAGAUUAGGUAGUUGGUGGGGUAAAGGCUCACCAAGCCAACGAUCUGUAGCUGGUCUGAGAGGACGACCAGCCACACUGGGACUGAGACACGGCCCAGACUCCUACGGGAGGCAGCAGUGGGGAAUUUUGGACAAUGGGCGCAAGCCUGAUCCAGCAAUGCCGCGUGCAGGAAGAAGGCCUUCGGGUUGUAAACUGCUUUUGUACGGAACGAAACGGCUCUGGUUAAUACCCGGGGCUAAUGACGGUACCGUAAGAAUAAGCACCGGCUAACUACGUG